GCUACUUGUGGGACCAGCCUCUAAUUAUGGCUUUCCUGUUUUUUUUCCACUAAAUUUUAUGGCUUUCUACUGAGAUUGUGAAGUGCCUCAAGAAUGACACUCUGCCCAGUUAUACUGCAUUUUUCCUACUCAAUCCCGUCUCCAGAAGGUGUUGGUGAUGACAGGAUAUAAUUCCACAGGCACUAAUUACCCAAUUAUCAACUCAUGUCCAUUAACUGGCAUGUGUUCAAUCCUUUGAAGAGGAAUCCUGGGUCAGAAAGUAUGGUCAUCCUGAAACAAAAUUUUCUAAUCUGCCCUGUCUUCUGUCUUAAUCCUUUGUGCACAGCAUUCCUACAGGAUAACUACAGAGCUGCAAGACAAAGGAACGUGCAUGCUUGUUUUUUCGUCAACCACUUUUCACGCCUUUCAUAUCAGUGUUUGUUUCUAUUAUUCCAUUUUACGGGGUAAAAGACUACAUUAAUAGUAAAGGAAGGGUAGGAGAAUAUAACACAAGACUGAAACAGCCCCUUCCUCAAGCAAAGGAUUGCCAAUUAUAGCCAAGAAUAAAGAGCUACAGGUGGAGGACUACCUUUCUGUUACACCCACAAAGAAGAGGCUGUCAAGAUCCUGGGCACCAUUUCAACCCAAAGUGUGGGACGGUAGAGUUGGAGAGCUUGGAUGAGUAGGUCCUUUCUGAGCACAUAGAUGUUGUAUGGUGAAAGCAGUGUAAGUGUUUCCUAUAUUUUCCUAUCGGUGGUUGCAAACCUCAGUAGAGCAGACUGAAAGAAAUCUGAUCCUUAAUUCCUUUUUACUUCUGCAAAUGGAAUACAAGCUCAAAAGUAAGAAGGCCUCGAGAUACAACUACUUGGGGCCUCAGAAGAAGUGAGUGACCCAAAAACACCUGCCACUUCAUCAUAACCUGCCCCCCAACCCUCUCCGCUACCUUUCACCAGCAUGGAGAGGCAAACACAGAGUGAAUUCAUUUAAAUGAGAAAUUUUCACUGAUGAGUCACAGAACACAAGGAUGCCAGAAGAUGUGGGAGUGUAAAAAUGAUCAUACUGUUUCUGAGUGGAAUGCCAGGAUUAGACCCUGCAGAUCUGGAGCAUGCCAACAUGCUGAAAUGAUCUUGUCGGGGGAGGGAGUUGGGGGCACACUGUAUUGAAGAAAAGAAUGCUUGUAGGUACAUCAUGGAUCUGCAGGGAUAUCUGCACCUGUCCCCAGUUAUAGGGAGCACUACAGGCAUUAACUGCCUUGUUACAAAAUAUACAAUUUAAAAAAUAUACAAUUUCUAAUUGUCCUUUUUCUGGCUGGAUUUAAAAUACAACCAAUAAACUGUAAUCUUAUUAAUAUAAUGGAGGACUGCCAGCCGAUCAGAAAAAACAACCUGUAUUCGACUCACGCAGGAUGAAAAUGGAACAGACACCCAACCAUCCCCCCAUCUCGAGAAGUGCGAAAGACGUCAUCUCCUGUUGGCUUUCAUACUAUCUUGAAACUCUUCAAAACUUUGAGAUGAGCCAUCAGAAUUAACUGUUCUACAAACAAUGACUGCAGCAGAAAUGGUAAUUGAAUUCCUCUGGAAUGUAUAACCAGCAGGGCUUUUAAGAACUGUAUCACCAAGUCAGAGAGAACGCAAGGACAGAUCAGAAUGCUGUACUGAAAAGCUGCAAGGCAGCUGUUUUUCUCUCUCUCUUGAAAGUACUGUGCCUGAAAAGAGGAAUUUACUGCAAACUGAGAUCUUUUGGGGGGAGAAAACUGCUCAAUACAACUACGCCAGGAAGACAACUGAAUAAGAUGUCCGCAAGGUUGGCUCAUUGUGUUAAGACCAGCCAAAGGACAGUUAACAGUAUAUUUCUUUGUUUAUCUUCUUUACAAACUGUAAAACAUCUUUAAGCCUAUCUUCUUAUGCUAGCAUCUGUACUAGUGUAUGUUUGGGCCUAGGGAAUAUGUGUGAUUUAUGAAUGGUGUUUGUGAUUUACCUAUUUUCUUAAUUCAGA